AACGAACGCUGGCGGCAGGCCUAACACAUGCAAGUCGAGCGAGGACUUCGGUUCUUGCGGCGGACGGGUGAGUAACGAGUGGGAAUGUGCACUUCUCUACGGAAUAGCCCUGGGAAACUGGGAGUAAUACCGUAUACGCCCUAUUGGGGAAAGAUUUAUCGGAGAAGGAUCAGCCUGCGUUGGAUUAGGUAGUUGGUGGGGUAAUGGCCUACCAAGCCGACGAUCCAUAGCUGGUUUGAGAGGAUGAUCAGCCACACUGGGACUGAGACACGGCCCAGACUCCUACGGGAGGCAGCAGUGGGGAAUCUUAGACAAUGGGGGCAACCCUGAUCUAGCCAGGCCGCGUGAGUGAUGAAGGCCUUAGGGUUGUAAAGCUCUUUCAGCGGGGAAGAUAAUGACGGUACCAGCAGAAGAAGCCCCGGCUAACUCCGUGC
rnacentral:rRNA from 1 species